rnacentral:rRNA from 1 species
CUUGUACACACCGCCCGUCACACCAUGGGAGUGGGUUUCACCAGAAGUCGGUCGCCUAACCGCAAGGAGGGCGCCGACCACGGUGUGGUCAAUGACUGGGGUG